rnacentral:misc_RNA from 1 species
CCUCACUGGGGUGUACUCUCCACUCGGACGAUAAGAAAUGGAGGCAAAUGUGUUCCCGUUAACGUGCGCAGGCCCUUUGCCAUCGCCCUCCUCCUUGCAUGCUCCUGUCCGUACCCUUCGCUUUAACUCUCCAAGGCCAGUCGGCUCAGUUUUGAGAAGGAGCAUGGGCAAAGAAGAGCCACUUCUUGAAGGAAUGCCAAAGGAGUAUUACGAUGAUGAAUGGCAAGCUCAACAACGGGAAAAGUGUAAGGAGUUGGAGCGGCUGCGUCAGCUGGAAGAUGAAGAAGAGGAAAGAAAGAUUGCAGAGUAUCGUGAAAUUGGCUUGCGCUUGAAGGGAUAUCCACAAGAAGAUGUAAUAAAAGCAAGAAAACUGGUUUCAAGCUUUAUCAGAGCUGCUGAAGAAGUGGAAGAGAAAAUUGAGGAAGCUGCUGAGAAAGGAGAACUGAAUGAACUUGUUCUAAUGGUCAUAUGGAAUCGGCUUGAUCUUGCUCGACGUGAUGAUGAAAAGGAUGCUAUUAGAAGUCUUGAUCUUUUAUACAGAAGGGUUGAGAUGGAGAUUUUGAAAAUGGAGGCCACACCUUCUAUGAGACUGUUGAACGAUCUUUUGAAUAUGCAUGAUGGGUUUGACGAUGAAGGCUGGCUGAAAGAAUGCAAAAAAUGCAUGAUUAAUACCUUUCCACGAGAGGAUCCAUUUAGCAUUCUUGUUCCAGCAGGGUUUGAUGUUGAUAAGCAUCAAGGGCCGUUGCGACCACCACUAGAAGCAGAUGAUGUUCUUUUGAGGGUAGAUUUUGUCAGGGAAGUUGAUUCUUUGCUCCAGGAAGUUCGGCAAGAGGAAAGUGAAGCACAUAAUGUAGAAGGGUUUGAUCCUGAAUCUGUUGCAAUCAAACUCAAGCAACAAGAGAAGCAACAAACGAUAAGGCAAGUAGAGGCUCUGCUGGACCUAGCCAUUAAUUUGAAAUGGUAACCUAGCCACAUACUUGGUCCAGCUUUCAUUCAGUGAAGAGAGACACAACCCCACCCCACCAUUCCCCUCCGUCACCACCACACACCCCCACCCCCC